GGAGGCGUCUGAACGCCUGGUGGGUUCCCCGGUCUUCAAAACCGGUGAGAGGCAGAUUCUGUCUCUGGCGGGUUCGAUUCCCGUCCGCCUCCGC
rnacentral:tRNA from 1 species